rnacentral:rRNA from 1 species
ACGGCUCAGUAACACGUGGCUAACCUACCCUUAGGACGGGGACAACCCCGGGAAACUGGGGCUAACAUCUGAUAGGUGAGGAGGCCUGGAAUGGUUCCUCCCUGAAAAGGCGUUGAAACCAUGCUUUUCAGCGUCGCCUAAGGAUGGGGCCGCGCCCGAUCAGGUUGUUGGUGGGGUAACGGCUCACCAAGCCAUUAACCGGUACGGGCCGUGAGAGCGGGAGCCCGGAGAUGGGCACUGAGACAAGGGCCCAGGCCCUACGGGGCGCAGCAGUCGCGAAAACUCCGCAAUGCGCGAAAGCGUGACGGGGCUACCCCGAGUGCCGCCCGCUGAGGAUGGCUUUUCCCCGGUGUAAUGAGCCGGGGGAAUAAGGAGAGGGCAAGACUGGUGUCAGCCGCCGCGGUAAUACCAGCUCCCCGAGUGGUAGGGACAAUUAUUGGGCUUAAAGCGUCCGUAGCCGGCUUGGCAAGUCUCCUGUUAAAUUCAGCGACUUAAUCGUUGAGCCGCGGGAGAUACUACUAGGCUAGGAGGCGGGAGAGGCCGACGGUAUUCCCGGGGUAGGGGUGAAAUCCUAUAAUCCCGGGAGGACCACCAGUGGCGAAGGCUGUCGGCUAGAACGCGCUCGACGGUGAGGGACGAAAGCUGGGGGAGCGAACCGGAUUAGAUACCCGGGUAGUCCCAGCCGUAAACGAUGCGGGCUAGGUGUUGAGGUGGCUACGAGCCACUUCAGUGCCGCAGGGAAGCCAUUAAGCCCGCCGCCUGGGGAGUACGGCCGCAAGGCUGAAACUUAAAGGAAUUGGCGGGGGA